UCCCUGUUGGCUCAGGUGGUAAAGAGUCUGCCUGCAAUACAGGAGACCUAGGUUCGAUUCCUGGGUUGGGAA
rnacentral:tRNA from 1 species